rnacentral:rRNA from 1 species
CUACGGGAGGCUCCAGUGGGGAAUAUUGCACAAUGGGCGCAAGCCUGAUGCAGCCAUGCCGCGUGUAUGAAGAAGGCCUUCGGGUUGUAAAGUACUUUCAGCGGGGAGGAAGGGAGUAAAGUUAAUACCUUUGCUCAUUGACGUUACCCGCAGAAGAAGCACCGGCUAACUCCGUGCCAGCAGCCGCGGUAAUACGGAGGGUGCAAGCGUUAAUCGGAAUUACUGGGCGUAAAGCGCACGCAGGCGGUUUGUUAAGUCAGAUGUGAAAUCCCCGGGCUCAACCUGGGAACUGCAUCUGAUACUGGCAAGCUUGAGUCUCGUAGAGGGGGGUAGAAUUCCAGGUGUAGCGGUGAAAUGCGUAGAGAUCUGGAGGAAUACCGGUGGCGAAGGCGGCCCCCUGGACGAAGACUGACGCUCAGGUGCGAAAGCGUGGGGAGCAAACAGGAUUAGAUCCCCCGUAGUC